CCUACGGGAGGCAGCAGUGAGGAAUAUUGGUCAAUGGACGAGAGUCUGAACCAGCCAAGUAGCGUGAAGGAUGACUGCCCUAUGGGUUGUAAACUUCUUUUAUAUGGGAAUAAAACGUUCCACGUGUGGGAUUUUGUAUGUACCAUAUGAAUAAGGAUCGGCUAACUCCGUGCCAGCAGCCGCGGUAAUACGGAGGAUCCGAGCGUUAUCCGGAUUUAUUGGGUUUAAAGGGAGCGUAGGUGGAUUGUUAAGUCAGUUGUGAAAGUUUGCGGCUCAACCGUAAAAUUGCAGUUGAAACUGGCAGUCUUGAGUACAGUAGAGGUGGGCGGAAUUCGUGGUGUAGCGGUGAAAUGCUUAGAUAUCACGAAGAACUCCGAUUGCGAAGGCAGUUCACUGGACUGCAACUGACACUGAGGCUCGAAAGUGUGGGUAUCAAACAGGAUGAGAUACCCCAGUAGUC
rnacentral:rRNA from 1 species